rnacentral:rRNA from 1 species
CCAGAGAACUUUCCAGAGAUGGAUUGGUGCCUUCGGGAACUCUGAGACAGGUGCUGCAUGGCUGUCGUCAGCUCGUGUUGUGAAAUGUUGGGUUAAGUCCCGCAACGAGCGCAACCCUUAUCCUUUGUUGCCAGCGGUUAGCCGGGAACUCAAAGGAGACUGCCAGUGAUAAACUGGAGGAAGGUGGGGAUGACGUCAAGUCAUCAUGGCCCUUACGAGUAGGGCUACACACGUGCCACAAUGGCGCAUACAAAGAGAAGCGACCUCGCGAGAGCAAGCGGACCUCAUAAAGUGCGUCGUAGUCCGGAUUGGAGUCUGCAACUCGACUCCAUGAAGUCGGAAUCGCUAGUAAUCGUGGAUCAGAAUGCCACGGUGAAUACGUUCCCGGGCCUUGUACACACCGCCCGUCACACCAUGGGAGUGGGUUGCAAAAGAAGUAGGUAGCUUAACCUUCGGGAGGGCGCUUACCACUUUGUGAUUCAUGACUGGGGUGAAGUCGUAACAAGGUAAGCGUAGUGCU